UACGUAGGGUGCGAGCGUUGUCCGGAUUUAUUGGGCGUAAAGGGCUCGUAGGCGGCGUGUCGCGUCGGGAGUGAAAGCCCGUUGCUUAACGGCGGGUUGGCUUUCGGUACGGGCAUGCUGGAGUGCGGCAGGGGAGACUGGAAUUCCUGGUGUAGCGGUGGAAUGCGCAGAUAUCAGGAGGAACACCGGUGGCGAAAGCGGCUCACUGGACCACAACUGACGCUGAGGCGCGAAAGCUAGGGGAGCAAACAGG
rnacentral:rRNA from 1 species